rnacentral:rRNA from 1 species
GACGAACGCUGGCGGCGUGCCUAAUACAUGCAAGUCGAGCACAGGAAAUCGACGGAACCCUUCGGGGGGAAGUCGACGGAAUGAGCGGCGGACGGGUGAGUAACACGUAAAGAACCUGCCCUCAGGUCUGGGAUAACCACGAGAAAUCGGGGCUAAUACCGGAUGGGUCAUCGGACCGCAUGGUCCGAGGAUGAAAGGCGCUUCGGCGUCGCCUGGGGAUGGCUUUGCGGUGCAUUAGCUAGUUGGUGGGGUAAUGGCCCACCAAGGCGACGGUGCAUAGCCGACCUGAGAGGGUGAUCGGCUACACUGGGACUGAGACACGGCCCAGACUCCUACGGGAGGCAGCAGUAGGGAAUCUUCCACAAUGGACGAAAGUCUGAUGGAGCAACGCCGCGUGAACGAUGAAGGCCUUCGGGUCGUAAAGUUCUAUUGUAAGGGAAGAACAAGUGCCGCAGGCAAUGGCGGCACCUUGACGGUACCUUGCGAGAAAGCCACGGCUAACUACGUGCCAGCCGCCGCAGUAA